ensembl:lncRNA
CUCAUCAAAAGAAGCACACCAGGCUAAGAACAUCAGCUCCUUUAUUAUUAUUAUCAUUUACUGUUAUUUUCCCCUAAACAACAGCACAAUUCAAAUAACAAUGACACACACGUCCCACCCAUAUAGACAAUACCACUAGCCUGCCUGCCAGGCUGUCUGGCCUUUGCUUGGUUCCAGCUGGAGCUGUCUGGAGACAGCCCUCUCUAAAAGUCCCAACUUGGACAUAGGAGACACAAGAAAGGGGGGGCUUUAGCCAGAGAAUAAACUGAGGGGCUUCCAGAGUCCCCGGGGAGUGCCAGCUUGGGAACAUGCUGUAAAUGCCUGGGUGGAGGGCAGAAGGCACUGUUUAUUUUCAUGUGGCUGUUGGAUAAAUCCCAUAUGGGGAUGUAAGACCUCUCUAUAACCCUUCUUAGGCCAGGGCUGCAGAAACACAAUGGAGUGAGCUAAUGGGCUCCUUCACCCAAACCACAGGGCAGGCAGGGAAAUUGAGAGCCCAGAAUAGGAAUCUGGGUGAUGGGGAGGUCCCCAGAGAAAAGCAACCCUUGCAUCAGCUGCAAGGUAAGAUGCAAUGUGAAAUGUUAUGUCCCAUUAUAUUGGUUUGGCAACUUUAGAAUGUGCAACAUUUUCAUCAAGACAGAAAAGGUAAAGAAAAAAAAAAAAAACUCCCAGCAUUUUGCGCAACUGAGCAUGACUCGCCAAUUGCGCCCUCUUGUGGAAAAACCUACUACUACACUAUCCAGGGACUCUGUGGUCCAUCCACUCCCACCCCCAACAUCUUAGUUGCGCUAAAUCUAUGAGUUCAGCUACAGUAAUGUACCCUGGAAUCAGAGAAGCCCUGGGGUUGGGGAGGGAACAAGGAUGGGCCAUGACUGGGGUCUCAGGUACAGGUGACUUCCUGGCUGUCUUGGGGAAGCUCGUUGUUGAAACUGCUUUCUCCAAAUGGUGAGUAAGGGGGGACCUGGGGAGCUUCGAUGAUCAGCAGGCCCUCUGGGGAAAGCGAGGCAAAUACUGUCACAGGAUCCACCUCUGCAGGAAGCCUAGAGGAAGCACAAGAUUUUAUUCAUUUAUUAUUUUAAUAGAGCUUAAACAUUCUUUUAUUCAUUCGAAAGAAAAUGUUGUUGAGAAGAGCUUCAUCUUUCGGGGCAAACAAUGCUGGGUUUGAAUUCUGGCCCUGCCCCUUUCUAGCUGUGUGAUCUUAGGAAGGCCACUCAGUUGCUCUGAGCUUGUUUCCUCAUCUGCAAAAUGGUGAGCAUAACAUUAAAUUUGCACAGUAUUUGAAGCUCAGAGUGAGAAAAAGACUCUGAACACGCUUUACGAAUGGUAAAACGCUGCUCCAAUGGUAACUUAAAAGGGAGCUGUGGUCCAGAUAUUUGGUCAAUGGUUGAGGUCUCCACUUUAGCACCCACAACUGGCCAGCUGCUGGCGGAAAUGACCGCCACGACCACUCCUUUAUAGAGCACAAAUCAGGUGUCACUCACAACAGGUGACACAUUUUCAUUGACCAUGUGCCUGCUGGGAGGGCUUUGCUACAAAAAGCAUUGCUGGUAGAGUUAAUGGUGGAAUAGACAACUUGGCAGAUAAAGGGGGUCAGGCUGGCCACAUGGCUAGACGUCAGAUGGCAGCAUACUCUACGAUGCUUAGAAUGACCCUCGAUUUGGGCCACAUCGUAAGUAGGUCUUAGCAGGUCAUAAUUGUUUUGUUCCCAAAAUACAUUUAUAGGCAUUACCUGGUUAGAGCUUUAUAGAGACCCUAGAAUGGUUAGUAGGUAGAAAUUAAUAUGCCCAUUGCAUAGGACAUCUGACAGAGCCUUGGGGAAUCCAACGACAGACUCAGUGGGAGAGAGGGCACCAAAGACAGGACUUCUGAACCCAAAUCUGGUUCCGGUUCUGAAGCUAUUUUUAUGACUUUUGGAUUGUUUUGAGCAAACGAGACUAUCUGGGACAUGGUUUCUGCAACAAAUUAUUGGAAUUGUGAGAGCAUGCUAAUGGCCCCAUUAUCAAUAAAAAAUUAUGAAAACUAUGACCUGCUGAGAACUUUCUAUGUACCAGGGACUUCGCCUGAAUCCUCUCGUACAGUUGUUAACAGUAACCCCACCAGGCAAGUGCUAUGCCUAUCCCCAAUUUACAGAUGAGGAAAUUGAGGUCAGAGAAGUGAACUGAUUCGCCCAAGGCCCCCCAGCUGGUAAGCGGCAGAUGGGAGUGGAAUUGGACUCGGGGUCUCCAAACUCAGCUGAUUGUGAUGCUCUGCGGCCUCCCCCGGCACCAGACUGUUGAACACAGGACCAUGAGGGGAAGCCAGGCGGUUCUAUCACCACGAUCUUUCCUGGCCAGGCUGGCUCUGCCUGUUGUAAAUGCAGGGGUCUUGAUGAAAGAAGCAAGAAAUGAGGUCAGCCCGUUCCUCGUCAUGGGCAGGACCCUUCCUGGAGGGGCUGGGAGGCUUUUGCUCCUGUGCUCGUAGGCGCAUGAGCCCCAUCUACCCAAGGGACUCCUGCCAAAUUGGAGCCACAGAGAAUAACAAGGGGGCUGCGGGCAAGGACGGAAGAAAGAGAGAAUUUGAACACCUGCCAAGUCAAGCUCCUGGAGCAGAGACAAGGGCAAGAUUUUGGACCUCCCUCCCUCUGCUGGGGGAUGGGCUGACUCUGUUGAACCAUUCGCACGCCAACCCAGUGGGGACCAGGUACAAUGUGACAGGGUAGGCAUGGUCCACAGCCUGGACUUGGCAGGCAGGGAGACCUCGAUCCAGAUUCCGGCUCUUCCCGACUGUGUGACCUUGGGCUAGUGAUUUCACCUCUCUGAAUCUAUUUCCUUGUAAGAAAAGAGGUAAUAAUAGCAUCUACCUCUUAGGGUGGUGUGAGAAUUAUGUGAGAUAAUGAAAGAAAAGGACUUAGAAUGGUGCCUGGCACACAGUAAGCGCUCAAUAAGUGUCAGCUUCUGCAUUGUCAUUGCAGGCAUUGGCUCGCCAAGUGGGCACCUUGACAGCUGGGAAUAUUUUAGCACAAGCUGUGCCAUCAUUGAACCAUAGGACAUCAGAGCCCAAAAGGAUCUUCUCGAUUGUCCAGGACAAUGCUCUCAUAUUACACAUGGGGAAACUGAGGCCCGGAGUUGGGAAUAGACUUGUUCAAGGUCCCUCACCAGGUAACCUGUAUGUUGAAUCGACGUGGUGGGAAAGUUAUUCCUCCCCAAUUCUCUUUCAGUCCUUCUGUUUACAUCUAAACAAAGGUCUCAGCGAAGGGUUAACAAGCCUUGAGCACCUGCAGCCUCUGUCUCUUGCUAUUUUCUCUUUUUAACAAAGAGACAGCAGAUGUAAGUCUUAGACCCUUCGGCAGGCAACAUCAUCUAGUUAUUUCACCACAUUUUGCUUUCAUUGGAUUUUGUUAUGAUUGCCUUCUUCGGUGAACAUGUUAGCGAUGAGAAUUUCACUGUAUCAAAAGUGAAUUGAUCGGAAAAAAACAAGGCAUAAGCAAAUAAUAGUAUGGGAACAUUAGCAUAUGUGGCAAAAAAUAGUGAAGACGUAUGCCAAUAACUGUCCUUCAGUCUGCCCUAACCGAGUAGGGGAAGUUCAAGUUAGGGACACCUGUGCUCCAAUCUCAGAUCUGCUCCUUCCUGUGUGACCUUAGUUGAGUCCCACCAUCCCACUGAGCUUCAGUUUCCUCACCCACUAGAUGGGCGUAAUCAUACCCACUCCAUAGGAUUCCUCUAAAGAUGAAAUACGAUUAAACCUACAAACCUCUCCACAUGGCUCUUGACACAUCGUAGAUAACGAUAAGAGGCAGAACAGAUACGUGGGAAAAUGUGGAGCAAAGAGACUGAAGUUUGCUUUGGCUCUGAGCAUCCUCCAUGGAUGACUUCCUGUGUCCCCUGCUUCCUGUCCUCUCAUCCAGCUUGGAUGUGGGAAAGAUCUCAUCUGCAGUCCUCGCCCUGCCCCCAGUCUGAUAGGCAAAUUCCAAGACCUCUCCCCGUCCCCUCAUCCAGGCAAGAUGGGGCCUUUCACACGGGGAUGGGUGUGUUGGGCUAAGGCCAACAGCUGUAGCAUCCUGCCUGGCUGGAAAUCUCCAAGGAUCUCAGCUGGUUGAAGGAGCUUCCCUGUCCUCUGAUGACCUGAGCUUUUCCUGGGAGAGGCGAUGAGGCCUCCUAAGAUUGGGCCAGGGCCAUCCCAAACUCCCGUCCUGCUCCUCGGUGUCUGAAGUCUGGGCAGAGCCAGGAGGGCCCAGGAGGUCCCACCUGCUCUUGUGUGAUCCCAGCCUUGCAAUCUUUUAAUAAUAUUAGUUCCCAUGGACUGAGCGCUGAGUCUGUACCCCGUGCUAAACGCUUUACACACAUCCUCUCAUUCCCCAUCACAGAUCCAUCUGUGAGGGAAUGCGGGAACAGAAGCUCAGAGCAGUUCAGCAAAUUGCUCUGAGUUACCCACUCUCUCUAUCAUGGAGCCCGGACUCCCUACACCCAGGGGUGAAAUUCAAAAUAUUUAGCAACUGGCACAACUGGACAUUGGCCAGCCAGAAGGGAUAGAUACCUGAUCUAGUUAUGGAGGAGGGUUCUGGGGACCCUUUAAUAGCUGGAACAUGGGGCGGUUUGGAGGGUCCUGGGGACAGGGUCAGGAUGGCUAGGUCGACUAGGGAGGGCACCUGGGGAGCUCAGGGCAAUGGCGAGUCCCAUAUUGUAGCGAGGGCCCCAUAUUGAGCUCAACUGCAGCCCUACCUUGAGCAGCUGUAGGCAUUUCUAUCUGGUCAAGCAACUCCCAGCAAGCUGUUUUCCCAGAGGUCUCAGAGACAGCGAAAUCCACAAAAUGGCCGUCUUCUUAAGAUGAUUAAUUCGCUGACUUCUUUUUCAGCUCAGUCGCCUCCACAGCUUUGCCCUGCCUGUGACUCCAACCUGAGACCUUCUAUGAGUCUCUUGAAAGAAACAUUGGCUCCCUCCUCCUCCCUUUUCCCUUUCUCUCUGCUCUCAGCGAUGUUUGAUCUGGCUGCUGGACCAGGGAGAGGUGUGGGUCUUGGGGACGGCGCGUGAGCCAGCGAGCGUAAGAGAAGCUGUUGGCCUUUCCCUUAUCAGGAAGUGUCCUGAGGCUUCCAAGAACUCCAGAGGCGCCAGGCGGGUCAGGAGCAGGCACGUGGGGGGAGAGACAGGACUGCAGAAUCCCAAAGCUGAAAGAAGCCUCAGAAUUCAGCUAGCCCUGUCUCUCCAGACACAGGACAUUUUUUGCCAGGGCUAGGAGUGGAGCAAAGAUUCAAGAACCGCAACAAUAAUAGUAAUAACAAACGGCCACGUAUGAAGACCUGCUGUGUGAGGAUCAUUGUGCCAUGAUCUCAUCUCAUUUUCACUUGGUAACUCUGCAAGGCCAGAAUCAGCACACAUCUCAUACAGACGAGGAAAGGGCAUUCCUUGCUUGAGGAAGGAGCAUUAAACUCAGAGUUGAAGGAUCCGUUUGGGGCUGUUCUAAAUUCCAGAUGUAAGGACCUCGAGUAUGUCCGUUCACCUCUGGAAGACUUCGUUUCCCCAUAACAGCAGGAGGGUACAAUCUCUCCUCCCCUGAACAGCUUCGCUGCCAAGACUGGAUGCAAUGAUGACUGGGGAAAAGGCUUUGGAGCCAGAAGAGCACGUGAUGGAGUGACGCUGAUUAGGGAGAAGAUGUCCCUGAAGCAUCUAGCCAUCAGCACCCCGCUGUGAGUCUCUUCUCCCCACAGGCAUUGCCAUCAGGGCCUCUGUGUGGCUUUGAUUCAGUGGCUCAGCCUGGCGCUCUUCUGGCUGCUCACGUGGUUUUCCCAGGCUCAGCCCUUCUCACUCCCCUCAGCAAAACCUGCCCUUCCUUCAUCCCAAUCUCAGCCUCAGGACCCCUCCAGGUGGUAAGCGGAGCCGGCAGGACACCUUCCAGUUUAAUUCCUGUGGAUGCUCCAGCGAAGGCGCACUCUGCUGGCUGUGGGAGAGUUAGGGCGAGCAGCCUCCCCAAGGAAGAUUCUACUGGGCCUUUGGGGCAUCGGGGGAGGGUCUUUCUUGACCGUGAUGGAGAUCCUCCCUCAGCCAUACCACGUGGGUAGGGGAGUGCCCCAAUUUUCGUGGAACUGUGGACAAGUCAUUUCACCUCUCUUAUUCUCGGGUUCUUCAUCUACAAAACGGGAUUGUUGAUACCGACCUCACAGGGCACUGAGCAGGCAAGACGGGAGAAUCUAUGCGGCCCCCCUUUCUGGGACCCUGUUGCAGGUUUGCUGUGACACUUUCUUCCCUUCAGGUAUGAGGGUUCAAGUCCCUGCCCUGGGCCAUGUCUCACAGGAGAGAUGCCCAGGAGGGAGAGACCCCAGAUCUCGGGUCCCAGGCACCCCCGUCUCCUCCACUCCCACCCUGAAAUCCACACUGCCAGGUCACUUACUGGAUUUUCUUUGUGAAGUUCUUGGAAACAAUGCCGCCUUCUUGCUGCUUCUCCUCGUGUUUGCCUGGAAGGGAAAGAAAUGCCACGGGUCAGCAUCUGCGUGCCCUGGGCAUCCGUCAGGACUCGGACUUGGAGUCGAAUCCUGCGCCUGCCUCACUGUGUGGCUUGGGGCUUGGUCUAGUGGCUCCAGUUGUCUGAGCUUCUGGUCCCUCAUCUGCUAAGUGGACCCACCUGAGCCUCCUCCCAGGCUGUUGUGAAGAUGAAAUAAAUAACGGACAGGAGGCCUUGACCGUGGUUUGUGGACAAUUACUUACUAGUCUUAGGAAAUCACAGAACCUGGGCCACACAUUGCACUGUAUCUUCUAAGGUCUUGAAUCUGACCCCUCACUCCUAACCAGCCAGUAGAACCCUAAGGCUAACACCCCAGAACGGGUGGUGGGAAGGAAGUGGGGCUAGUUUGCCACUCAGCUGACCUUACAACUAACAGAGGCCUUUCCUAGCUCUGAGGGUGGGCUUCUUUCUCCCUUGGUUAGAGAUGUGGAAACUGAGGCCCAGUGAUGGGUCCAGUGUUGCCCAGCAGAUGUGUGGCAGCCAUGGGCUCUGAACCAGCUCUCUCUGAACCUAGGCCAGGAGCUGGGGUCUGCCACCUCUCUGCUGUUCCAGCUUCUGAAUAGCUCUUUGAGCCACAUUAUGUGUACACCUGGAAAUAAUGCUUCGUCUGCUAAAAAACCCACCCAGAUUCUCCAAAGGGGGCUUUUCUUAAGAAACAACACAGUAGGGAGAGGUGGAAUUUCCCCUGUCCCACACCCUCCCAGGGCAGCAGGAGAGAGCUUUUUUCUUCCCUUAGGAAGGAAAAAGAUGAAAUUACAAGAAGGCUUGGGCCCACACUGGCUUUUAUCUUGCAAUUUAUAUAACAAAUUCCGAGCCUCCUGGCUCCUCCCAACUCUUUUUUUUUCUUUUAUUGGAGAGAGUGUCUCUAAUUUCCCUUUAAACAAACCGGAUUAGUGCCCAGCAGAGCCGCUCACCUCCUAUCCUAUUGUUACUCAUUCCUCACUCCUCAUUUUGGGGCCACAUUCCAGGCCUAAGAACCUUCAUUUCCCCAGGGGCACCCUUCCGAGGGACUGUACAAUCUAGACCGUAAAUAACCUAGUGGGAUUAGUGUCUUUUUACAGUCCAGAUUUUUUUAAACUGAAUCUACAGGUGAUUACAUUAAUUAUUCUUUAUGAUCAUUAUUCCUUUAUUAAUAACUUUUUUCUGAUCACCAGAUAAUGCAAGUGUCUGUUCAAAAAGGUAGAAAAUGAAGAAGAAACAAUCAGAACUCUCAUAAUCCCGUCACCCAGAGGAAAUUAAUAAUAUUUUUUAUAUGUUCCAGACUUUUCUUUCCAUGUUACUUAGAAGUGCAUAAAUGUUACAUAGUAUAGAUGUUAUAGACGUGGAUAGCAUAUUUUGUCAGAUGGGCUCAUACUGUAUGUUACACUUGAAAUCUGUUUUUAUCUCUUGCUAACAUAUUAUAAUUAUUUUUCCAUAUUACAGCAAAUAUUCUUUAACAGCGGGAUUACUAGCGGCUGCACAGCGUUUCACUGCAGAGAUAUAAAAAUUCAUUUGGACAGUCCCCAGCUUCUUGGCACUGAGGUUCCUGACAUUUGGGAAGAACCUCAGUGCCCUGAAUGUCAUCCUAGCUAGAUCUGCAUGCGGCCUGAUGACUCCCUGAGGGUAAAUUCCAAGUUCUAGAAUUUCUAAGGCUUGGUCUGUAUUGUUAAAUUGCCCUUAGGAAAGGCUGCAUCAAUUUCUUCUCCCAUCAGCUGGGCAGAAAGGGGUACACAUGUAGGAGUUUGGGUUUUUAAGCUGGAGUGUCUGGCUCUCCAGAACAUGCUAUUCUGUGAUGUGCUGCCCCGGGGAAAGCUUAUUGUGACCUGCCAAGUCCGUGACCACCAAAUGCCCAGCUCCAACCCAGGCCUGUGGCCAGAAGGGCGCUGUGUGUUCCCUGGUAUCCUCCCCAAGCCAGGGCCUCCGGAGGCCUGCUUCCCCUGGGGACAGGCCAGUGCCUCUGACUCAGCCCUUUUGCACCCUUGGUAUCCUGGGAAUAAUAAAGGAUGAUGAUGAUAAGAAUAAUAAUAGCAAACUCUUAUAUAGCUCUUACUUGGUGUCAGCCACUGUUCUCAGCGCCUUUAAUUUUCCCAACAGCCUUAGAAGGCAGGUACUUUUACCAUCACCGUUUUGUGGAUGGGGAAUGAAAGUUCAGAGAGGUGAGGUGAUGUGCUGAAGGUCACACAGCUCGGAAGUGAUGGAGUGCAGAUUCAAAAGGAGGUAGAUGGGUUUGAGUCUGUGCUCUGACAUUUCCCAGCAUCUCUGUUCUUGGAGCUUCAGUCUAUUCUUCUCUAAGGUGGGGGUGACAAGGCUUGGGUUAUUGUGAGGAGCAAAUGAGAAUGAGUCACAGAAUUGCUGUGUAAAUGGUCAAAAAACUGUGUGAAGGUGAAUGCUUGUGGUUUAUUUUGACGUUUGGAGAAAGGAGUGCUCUUCACAAGCUAGCUCUCCCUGUCCGGGCUCUGGAAACAGGGUUUUGGGGUCAGGGAGGGGAGGGGGUUAACCUGGUUGUAAGAGGAUGUUGCUAGGAGGCCUGUCUUGAAUUUAAUUUACAUAUUAUUUGAAUAUCUAUUUAUUGGGGCAGCUUAAGGAUUAUGAGUGCUUUUUUGCUUCUUAUUUUGGUUUCCUAUGUACAUUUUCUACUGUGGAAAUACUUUAUUUUUGUAAACAGAAAAAAGUAAUUAUUAUAAUUUUUUUCUUCAAGAACUCAUCUGGAGGCCGGAGGAAGUCAGAGGCCCCUUGCAGCCACCAUGUUCUCCACGUGCCUCAGAGAAAUGUCGGCGCCAAGAGGCAGGAAGCAGGAGUUGGGGGAAGUCCAUUGGCCCAGCUAAAGAAAGACAGUGCUGUUUCCAGGGGAGGCACAGGCCCUGGGAUUAAGAAGGGGCAGGAAUAAGGCCUUGGGGCUUUCCAGUCCCUUCCUUGGCCAGGGCCUGGCCCAGUGGCCCAUGAAGGGAACAUUUCUUGGCUAGUGUCUGCAUGUUGGGGGUGGGGUGUGUGAGGCAUGAUGGAACUCUUCUAGUCCAGCAUUUUCCAAACACUUCCCUGGGACUAGACACUCACAUGUGGUCAGAUAAGAGAGGACCAUCUCUCAGAGAUCCAUCAACUCCAUUGGUGGAUUCAAGGCUCUGAUAAGUCCAGCAGUGAGGAGACCUGUUUAUAAUUUAGUUGCAUCCGGAACUUUCUAAAAUUCUGGAUGCCCCUCCCUCUGUUUCUCAGAUGCCUAGUGACAUCUUAAAGCACUCCAUUUGGCAAAUACUGAUCUAGUCCACCUCCUCAUAAGAACAACAAGAGGUGGUAGGACUUGCCCAAGGCCACGCAAUCAGAAGCAGAUUGAGCCAUCCUGACUUGGAACUGUCUAAGCAGGCCCGGCUUUGAGUUUCAGACAUUACCGUGGAGAAGCCGGUGGUCUCAGAUAAGGAAACAAAGCACAGAGAAGUUAUGCAAUGUGCACAGCCUGCUGGUGAGUGGCGGAUCUGGUUGCAGAACUCCUGCCUGGCUCGGGGAGCCCUGGCUGACCUCCUCCGUCAGCACGUGGCCCCAGCGUGUCUCCUGGCCCACCACACCCUCCGGAGCCUCUGAUGUUUACAAUUCUGCCCUGCGAGGCUUUGAACCUACCCCUGCCCGCUGCCUGCCAGGGCUUGUCCUGCCAGCCUGUGUCUGCGUGGCCUUUAUUGAUUUUCUGGCUGGCGGAGCCUGCAAGGAACAUGCUCUCUCUAAUGGAGUGUUAAUUGGGAGGGAAGCGGAGAGAAAGCUUUUCCUCUGCCGCCCUGCUUAGAGGGAGGGAGGGAGCCCCCAGCUCCUGUUUUUUCUUUCCCGGAGCAUUCCCUCUCCCAGGCUGGGAUGUGGUGGCAGGAGCCGUGGGCCCGGAGUCAUGGGUAGGCCCAGACUCUUGCUGCUGCUGACUCACACCGUGACCUUGGACGAGUCCCGCCUGGGCCUCAGCCUCCUCAACUGCAAAAUGGGACACUAGACACCUCUGCUCCUCGCGGCUGGAGUGAGGAUUGCUUGAGAGAAGAAAUAAGACUUUUAGCCCAGCCCUUGGCACCUAGGGUGCUCAAUACAUUAUCCAUUUGCCUCUGGCCUCCCGAUUCCCAGACAGCCUGGGUUUGAAUCCGUGGUGGCCUUGAGGGAGUUACUUUAACAUCUCUGUGCCUCAGUUUCCUCAACUGUAAAAAGAAGAGACAGACAGGACCCAUCUCCUCUGGUUGUAUUGACUGAGAUGCUGCGGGGAAGGCACCUAGCGUGGUCUCUAGCAGACAGUAGGCACUCAAUCAAGGUUAUCAAUUAGUAUCGUUAUAAUGACCACUAUGCCUCAGUUUCCUCCCCUGACAAAGGGAGGCGUUUCUCUUGAAAGCUGCGCUGGUUAUCAACACUAUGAUGGUCCAGCGUGAAACAUGCCCUUCGAGACUGUUGUGAUGCCGGGGUGCAAGGGAGCCCAUCUCUUCCUUGUCUUUGAUUCCUUCUCUGUUUAACUCAUUCUUUACAUUCAACGCCCUCUGUCAAAAUAUCUGACGCUGUUUACCUUUUCCUGCCUGGACUCUGAUUGAUACAGCACCCGAAGGCCCCAGCAGCCGGGUCAGGUUAAGAUUUCCCCUGGAAGCCAGGAGAGGAGUGCUUUUCCAUAAAGAUAACUCCUGUGGGCUGCAUUCCUGAGCCCUGAAGUCACCUGUGUCAUACUGUCACAGCUUCCCCGUAAGGAACUGUCCUCUUGGCUGUUUCCAGGGCUGAUGUCUAUGCCUCCCUCCCCGGGUUCUCUCUCCUUUUUCUCGGCCCCCUACUCACCAGACACCUCCACGUAUCCGUCCUUGGUCUUCACCAUCAGCUCCUCCGGCUUGAAGCUGUGCACGUUGACACACACUUUCCAGGGCUCCCCAGGGAACGGUGGGGGGGUCCUGCCCUCAGCAGGUACCCCAAACCUGGCCGUGGCGGUGGGCCCCCGGGGCACCAUGCCCGACCUCAGGGUCCCCGGCCAGGCCGAGGAGAAUGGAGGCAGGCCCCAGUCAUGCCAAGAGGCAGUCAAAUUGUCGUGGAAGGGGUCCAUGCCAAAGCCAUCAUCCAGCAGGCGGGAGGAGAGGGGCGAGUCUCGGAAGGGGUCCCGGCGCAGGCGGCCCGUGUAGGGGAAGGGCAUCUGACCAUCAGCCAUGGUGGCCGCUGAGCUGGAGGGGAAGUGGAGGCUCAGAGAACCACAGCCACCUGCCCAAGGUCACACAGCAAGCUGAUGUGGGUGGGCUGGUCUUCCAAACUUAUUCUUCAGCUUCAGAAAAUGCUGAACCAUCCACUGCCAGGGACGGAGGCACACACCAGGCUGGGGUCCUGGGCCCCAGAGACACUCCAGCCACCAAAGGCGACCCCCCGCUGAUCCAGCAGAAUCCCAGAGGGCCCUUAUCCGUACUGCCUCACCAGGGAUCAGCCAGUCUCUGUCCUCGCAGGCCACACAGGCUGGCAGCCAGAGCCGCUGAGGUCUAAAGAGGAGCCAGGAGCUUAAUAAACCCAGGGAGGCAGGCCUAGAAACUUCUCGCUUCUCCUGGGCUGGGAGCUUUCUAUUUAUUGCUGCUGGGGGCUGGAGGCGGGUUUUGCAAGUGGCUCCUGUCACAGGAGUAUUCCGAGGUGAUGAACCAGCCCCAGAGAAUCCGCUGAGGGAACAGCUGUGCUCCAGGGGGCUGGGAGGGGCCCUGGCAGCCAAGUUCAGCCAGCCUCUCUGGGCAGUCUCUCCUCCCCACGCUGGCUCAGCUCCGCCCUCCCACUCCCUUCCCCGGAGCCAUCCUCCCCAGCCAGGGCACUAUUAAUAACCCUCUGCCUGGCCCAGGGCUCAGGUCACCCUCUGGAAAUACCUUCCCCAGAGCGUGCUGCAUCCUGCCUCCCCCCUGGGGACCUGCAGAAGUGGAGGAGGGACAGAUGGGAGCCCCAUAGAUCUGGAGGCAGAUGGCCCUGGGUUGCACUCCCCACUUGCAUGCGCUCAGAGCUCGCCCUCCCCGUCCUUGGGAGAGUAACAUGCCUGCCCUCCCCAUGCAUCCCUGAGCUCUCAGUUUCCCCACCUGCAAAAUGGACGUAAUGGUAGCCUCCUGUGGGCGUGUCCUGAGGAGAACGUGAGGCGAUCUUAAGCCUUUAGCAGACGACACUUCUGUAUUUUCAAUGUUCUCAAUGACGUAAUGUUUGCUGUAUGCCGAGCCCUGUUCUACAGGCUUUACAAAUAUUAACCCCUCCUCACCAACAAUCCCACAAUGUGAACUUACCACUAUCAUCUGCAUUUUACAGACGGGGGAACUGCCAUAGGAAGUGGCACCCAAUAGGAGCUUCUAUUAUUAUUAUGACUGUAAAUAAUGAUGAUUAUCACAACGUGCUGUACCCAGGCAUGGUGUCUAGUCUGGACCUCGAAGCCCAGAGAUGACCUAUUUUCUAGAUUCCCCUGUCACUUGGAGAGCUAAUCUAUAAAGCAGACUUUGAACGAAAGGCCCCUUCAGCUGGGGUUCCAAUCUUUGAUCUGUCCCCAACAGGUGGGCCUCUGGGGGCACGCCAUCCUCCCUCUGUGGGCUUCAGGGUCUCAGCCGGCUUCCUCGUGGGGUGGAGUGGGUUGGGGGUGUUAAGGAAUUCAGUGAGUCAUUGGUUGAGAAAUUGUUUUGAUGUUAAGCAGUGCAUGCAUGAGAAAGUUUUCUAAAAAUAAGAGUCUGGAAAACAACAAGUCACCAUCCUUCACUGCCUGCUGUGUACCUGUCUCGGUGGUAGCAGGUGAGCACGGUGCAGACUUCAUGGCAUUAAAUCUUCUCAGCAAGAAGGAGGGAGUUGUCACCACCCCCACUUUGCAGGUGAAGAGACAGGCUCAGAGCAGUGGCCUGUGCACGCCGUUCUGGGGUGGCAGGACCUGGGUGGGAACCCGAGUUGUUCUGAAUCUCACAUCCUUGCGGAGCUGACUGCCCGAGACCCCCGCCCCCUCCCCC